rnacentral:rRNA from 1 species
CCUACGGGCGGCAGCAGUGGGGAAUAUUGCACAAUGGGGGGAACCCUGAUGCAGCGACGCCGCGUGAGUGAAGAAGUAUUUCGGUAUGUAAAGCUCUAUCAGCAGGGAAGAAAAUGACGGUACCUGACUAAGAAGCCACGGCUAACUACGUGCCAGCAGCCGCGGUAAUACGUAGGGGGCAAGCGUUAUCCGGAUUUACUGGGUGUAAGGGGAGCGUAGACGGUUAUGCAAGUCUGAAGUGAAAGCCCGAGGCUCAACCAUGGGACUGCUUUGGAAACUGUAAAACUGGAGUGCAGGAGAGGUAAGCGGAAUUCCUAGUGUAGCGGUGAAAUGCGUAGAUAUUAGGAGGAACACCAGUGGCGAAGGCGGCUUACUGGACUGUAACUGACGUUGAUGCUCGAAAGCGCGGGUAUCGAACAGGAUUAGAUACCCCUGUAGUC